rnacentral:miRNA from 1 species
UUCCCUGAGACCUUAGCUUGUG